rnacentral:rRNA from 1 species
GACGAACGCUGGCGGCGUGCUUAACACAUGCAAGUCGAACGGAAAGGCCCUGCUUUUGUGGGGUGCUCGAGUGGCGAACGGGUGAGUAACACGUGAGUAACCUGCCCUUGACUUUGGGAUAACUUCAGGAAACUGGGGCUAAUACCGGAUAGGAGCUCCUGCUGCAUGGUGGGGGUUGGAAAGUUUCGGCGGUUGGGGAUGGACUCGCGGCUUAUCAGCUUGUUGGUGGGGUAGUGGCUUACCAAGGCUUUGACGGGUAGCCGGCCUGAGAGGGUGACCGGCCACAUUGGGACUGAGAUACGGCCCAGACUCCUACGGGAGGCAGCGGUGGGGAAUAUUGCACAAUGGGCGGAAGCCUGAUGCAGCAACGCCGCGUGCGGGAUGACGGCCUUCGGGUUGUAACCCGCUUUCGCCUGUGACGAAGCGUGAGUGACGGUAAUGGGUAAAGAAGCACCGGCUAACUACGUG